AUCCAUCUGACGAGCCCCAAAUAGAGCGAAACAUGUGUGUUGGAU
rnacentral:hammerhead_ribozyme from 1 species